rnacentral:rRNA from 1 species
UCAUGUGUACAUUCCUACAAUGUUAAUGCACCAAAUCCCAUUAUAAUUUCGCAAUUAAGUUUGCUUGGGAUAGAGUAGUACUAGGAUGGGUGACCUCCCAAGAAGUCCUAGUUUUUUACAUGCC